UGGAAUUAGUUCGAACGAUUAAUUUUCGAAAACGUACGUUAUUUAGGGGCACGCGAAAAUCGACUUUUUAUACGUAUGGAAUUUGGGAAAACUUCCUUCAUGAAAGUUGUAGAGCUCGUCGACACGAUCGCGUGCAUAUAUGGAACGCAAAAAUCGGAGCUCGUAUGAAUUAGUUAUGUUUUUUUGAAAACGUUUCCAGUUUAAUAUAAAAGCUUCCUUUUUUGUUAAUUUUUCCAAAAAUACAUUAAGUUUCCAAAAUUGGAAACUGAACAUUCUCUCUCUUCCUCACGCGUCCGAAACCGACGGAAACUGGGCAAUCCUUCGCCGGCGUCUAUCUUCCAAUUCCGGCCACCUCUGGACGAGCAACCACGUCCAUCAGCUUCGCCUCACUCCUCCGAAGCCAUCUGUGGCAACCUUGCACGGCGGCACGGCCCCUAGCGGCGGCGGCGGCCCGGUUUCGAUUUAAGCUCGAUUUUGGUCAACGCCGGUUUUCUCCUAGCUCCGGCCACCAAAACUUCCGAUCCUUGGCUCCAUGAACUCCCCUCAACCUGCUGAUCAUCAUACUAGGAGGAUUGCACCUAGAGUGACCGGUUUCACGUUCGUCGGAGCUCGUGGGUUCCCCUUGAUGUUAUUAACAACUCUCUAGAAGGCAUCGAGGCCUGAAAUUGAAGCUUUGACGUCGAAAUCGAGCCUUGCCGGAUUCUGCAAAAUUCUGGAAUUUUUCCGACCACCGAAGCUUUCGAUCGGUAUAUCUCGAGCUACAGACCAUAUUUUUCUGUGAUUCUUGAACCAGUGAGUUCUUCUUGAGUUUCUUAACAACUCUUCAGAAGGAAUCGAAGCCUUAAAUUGACGUUUUUACGUCGAAUUGGAGCUCGCCGUUUUCUGCAGUUUCUCGCCGGUUUCUGGAAAAUUCCGGCCACCUUCAUACUGUUCAAGUGGCUUUGUGUGGUCAUGGGCGAAGAUCCGACCGUUGGAUCUUCGUAUAAUUGAGAAAUGGUGAUUCGGAAGGCGAUUCGUGAGAAUCCGACCGUCAGAUUUUCAUAUAAUUUUGUGGAGAUGUUUGUAAGGAUGAUUCGAGAAGAUCUGACCGUUGGAUCUUCAUUAUAAUUUUGGAGGAUGAUCCUAAGGGCGAUCCGUGAGGAUCUGACCGUUGGAUCAUCAUUAAAUUAAGAUUCGACCGUCGGAUCAUCAUAUAAUUAGAAUCCGACCGUUGGAUUUCAGUAUAUGUGUGGUUUAUGAGUAAUUUACUAAGUCAAGAUAGUAUCUGAUUAGGUGAUUGACGAAUCGAGUUGGUGGACGAUUCAGAUGGAUAUGUGGCUUUUAGAAGACGCAGCUGGAAUUGGAGCGGGUAAUCCUACAGGACAGGAGAACCAGGACGGUGAUCGUGCGGUUAAAGCAAUUGUUAGAGUUUUACAGCAAUUGUAAGUUGUGAGGUGUGUUAUGCUCAUUUGAGCUUUACAAUAUUGCUUGUGAGAGUGGAUUGUAAUAAUGAACUCGAAGUUUCGAGAUUUGGAUUUUUGUAAUUGUAAUUAUUCAUGUUUCGGAUUUGAAUUUAUUAUUCAAAAUUCGG